ensembl:processed_transcript
AGAAGCCGAAAACAUACUCCUCACUCAUUGCAUGACUUCAAGGCAGACAUAAUAAAAAGUUGUUGCAGAUAAAAUGGGCAAGAAAUAAGGGAUAUCUUGGAGCGCUGGCCUGCAUUAUCAGAUGAAACACAGAUAAAUGAAGAAUUCAAGAGGAUAACCACUGUAGGUCUUGAAUCCACAUUUAUGGCCAAACUUGACAAACGCACCCCAAAACUAAUGGACCUGGCCUCAUCCAGGGGAGGAGCUAAAGGGGAAAGAAUCAGAAGGAUUAAGGAUAUGCUUCUUGAGAACAAUGCAGUUGAAGUAUGGAGAGAAGUAGCCAUUCACUGUCUUGUUGUCUAUCUUGGAGAGAAAGAAGAGGAUCUUUU